UACGGGGGGAGCAAGCGUUGUUCGGAUUUACUGGGCGUAAAGGGCGCGUAGGCGGUCAGCACAAGUCAGUUGUGAAAUCUCCGGGCUUAACUCGGAAAGGUCAACUGAUACUGUGCGACUAGAGUGCAGAAGGGGCAACUGGAAUUCUCGGUGUAGCGGUGAAAUGCGUAGAUAUCGAGAGGAACACCUGCGGCGAAGGCGGGUUGCUGGGCUGACACUGACGCUGAUGCGCGAAAGCCAGGGGAGCGAGCGGG
rnacentral:rRNA from 1 species